GCGCCUGUGGCUCAAAGGAGUAGGGCACCGGCCUCAUAGGCCGAAGGUGGCUGUUUCAAACCCAGCCGCA
rnacentral:tRNA from 1 species